GAUGAACGCUGGCGGCGUGCCUAAUACAUGCCAGUCGAGCGAACAGACGCGGCUCUUGCUCCUCUCACGUUAGCGGCGGACGGGUGAGUAACACGUGUAUAACCUACCUAUAAUACUGGGAUCAUUUCGGGAAACCGGAGCUUAUACCGUAUAAUCUCUUGCACCGCGUUGUUCAUUAGUGAAUGACGGUUUUUCUGUCUCUUCUAGCUGGAUCUGCGCCUCAUUAUCUAGUUGUUAAUGUAACGGCUUACCACGGGAACGAUGCGUAACCGAGCUGAGAGGGUGAUCGGGCACUAUGGAACUGAGACACGGCACAGAGUACGAGGGGAGGCAGCAGUAGGGAAGCUGCGGAAAUGGGCGAAAGCAUGACGGAGCAACGGAGGGUGGGUGAUGAAGGGCUUCGGAUCGGAAAACUGUGUUAUGAGGGAAGAACAAAUGUGUAAGUAACGAUGCACGUGUGGAGGGAACGUAAUCAGAAAGACACGGCUAAUUACGG
rnacentral:rRNA from 1 species